rnacentral:rRNA from 1 species
CCUACGGGUGGCAGCAGUGGGGAAUAUUGCACAAUGGGGGAAACCCUGAUGCAGCGACGCCGCGUGAAUGAAGAAGUAUUUCGGUAUGUAAAGUUCUAUCAGCAGGGACGAAAAUGACGGUAACUGAAUAAGAAACCCCGGCUAACUAAGUGCCAGCAGCCGCGGUAAUACGUAGGGGGCAAGCGGUAGCCGGAUUUACUGGGGUGAAAGGGAGUGUAGGCGGGGAAGGAAGUCAGAAGUGAAAGCCCGGGGCUCAACCCCCGGACUGCGUUUGAAACUGUGGGACUUGAGUGCAGGAGAGGUAAGUGGAAUUCCUAGUGUAGCGGUGAAAUGCGUAGAUAUUAGGAGGAACACCAGUGGCGAAGGCGGCUUACUGGACUGUAAAUGACGCUGAGGCUCGAAAGCGUGGGGAGCAAACAGGAUUAGAUACCCUGGUAGUC